rnacentral:misc_RNA from 1 species
GAAAUGCGAUACGUAAUGUGAAUUGCAGAAUUGUGAAUCAUCGAAUCUUUGAACGCACAUUGCGCCCUUCGGUAUUCCGGAGGGCAUACUUGUUUGAGCGUCAUUUCACUCUUAAAACAUGAAUUUGUUUUAGUAUUGAGUCUUUAUUUCUUUCCGAAGAAUGACUUGAAAUGAAUAUGGCACAAGCGAAUCCAGUCAUGGAGCUUUUUUCUACAACGUAAUAGGUUUUACCAACUCGUUGGCUUUAAUGGAAAAGGUUCUUUUGGAUAUAGCUUUGGCGUUAUAACCAAAACUUUUAAAGUUUGACCUCAAAUCAAGCAAGAUUACCCGCUGAACUUAA